GAUCGUAAGUACAAAGGGGUAUUGAAGAUUAACAGUUUGGGUUGUUCGGGGUUCUCUGUAACGUCUAGAGACCUAUCGGCUGGGGUAAAAAAAAAAGACUUCGACAAGCAGUCGAAGAGCAUCCGUAUAGAUUUACGGUACAUUGUUGCAGUCGUUUAUAUUCCAGCAGUCAAAAACUGAUAGACUGCUUGACUAUCGACGAAUCUCCAUA
rnacentral:lncRNA from 1 species